rnacentral:rRNA from 1 species
AUUGAACUCUGGCGGCAGGCCUAACACAUGCAAGUCGAACGCGUGGCGGACGGGUGAGUAAUGUCCGGGAAACUGCCUGAUGGAGGGGGAUAACUACUGGAAACGGUAGCUAAUACCGCAUACCAUCAGAUGUGCCCCGAUGGGAUUAGUUGGUUGGUGGAGUAACGGCUCACCAAGGCGACGAUCCCUCGCUGGUCUGAGAGGAUGACCAGCCACAUUGGAACUGAGACACGGUCCAGACUCCGACGGGAGGCAGCAUUGGGGAAUAAUGCACAAUGGGCGCAAGCCUGAUCAAGCCAUGCCGCGUGUAUGAAGAAGGCCUUCGGGUUGUAAAGUACUUUCAGCGGGGAGGCGUUACACGCAGAAGAAGCACCGGCUAACUCCGUGCCAGCAGCCGCGGUAAUUC